rnacentral:rRNA from 1 species
AUACGGAGGGUGCUAGCGUUGUUCGGAAUCACGGGGCGUAAAGCGCGCGUAGGCGGUUUGAUAAGUUGGAAGUGAAAGCCCAGGGCUUAACCUUGGAAUUGCUUUCAAAACUGUUAAACUAGAGAAUGGUAGAGGAUAGUGGAAUUCCUAGUGUAGAGGUGAAAUUCGUAGAUAUUAGGAGGAACACCAGAGGCGAAGGCGACUAUCUGGGCCAUUUCUGACGCUAAGGCGCGAAAGCGUGGGGAGCAAACAGGAUUAGAAACCCGGGUAGUCC